CCUACGGGAGGCAGCAGUGGGGGAUCUUGCACAAUGGGGGGAACCCUGAUGCAGCGACGCCGCGUGGGUGAAGGAGUGCUUCGGCAUGUAAAGCCCUAUCGGUAGGGAAGAAGCAAGACGGUACCUGACUAAGAAGCCCCGGCUAACUACGUGCGAGCAGGCGCGGUCAUACGUAGGGGGCGAGCGUUAUCCAGUACCCCUGGGGGUAAAGGGGGCGUAGACGGCCAUGCAAGCCAGGUGUGAAAGCCCGGGGCCCAACCCCGGGACUGCCCUUGGGACUGUACGGCUAGAGUGCGGGAGGGGCAGGCGGAAUUCCUGGUGUAGCGGUGAAAUGCGUAGAUAUCAGGAGGAACACCGGCGGCGAAGGCGGCCUGCUGGACUGCGACUGACGUUGAGGCUCGAAAGCGUGGGGAGCGAACAGGAUUAGAUACCCGAGUAGUC
rnacentral:rRNA from 1 species